GACGAACGCUGGCGGCGUGCUUAAAACAUGCAAGUCGAACGGAAAGGCCCUGCUUUUGUGGGGGGCUCGAGUGGCGAAAGGGUGAGUAACCCGUGAGUAACCUGCCCUUGACUUUGGGAUAACUUCAGGAAAUUGGGGCUAAUACCGGAUAGGAGCUCCUGCUGCAUGGUGGGGGUUGGAAAGUUUCGGCGGUUGGGGAUGGACUCGCGGCUUAUCAGCUUGUUGGUGGGGUAGUGGCUUACCAAGGCUUUGACGGGUAGCCGGCCUGAGAGGGUGACCGGCCACAUUGGGACUGAGAUACGGCCCAGACUCCUACGGGAGGCAGCAGUGGGGAAUAUUGCACAAUGGGCGGAAGCCUGAUGCAGCAACGCCGCGUGCGGGAUGACGGCCUUCGGGUUGUAAACCGCUUUCGCCUGUGACGAAGCGUGAGUGACGGUAAUGGAUAAAGAAGCACCGGCUAACUACGUG
rnacentral:rRNA from 1 species